rnacentral:lncRNA from 1 species
AUGGAGGGCAACACCGCGGUACUUUGUGGAGAUCUUUCCAGGUUAACUGUUACACAGCGGGAGACCAAAGAAGGUUCUAAGGGCGUAUCAGGCAUCAGUCUCUGUGUUCCCAAACUCCAUGGACCACUAUCCGGGUUCCAAGUAUUUCAACUACACUCUGGUUUUUAUGGCAUUAUUGGACUACUGAGUAAUUGCUUGCAACAUGUCAUCUCCCAAGGAGCGAGGAAAUUGGGAGCUGAGAAGGUGAGGGUUUUGGAAACGCAUGCCACACUCCAAAAUCUUGUAAAAACCUCCACUUUCCAAUUGUAUUAGAUGGGAAUGCAUUUAGCUAUAUGUAACAGAGAGCCUACUACAGUUAAUUAACCGGAUGGAAGUUUUAUUAUUUACAGAUUAUAAGAAGUUGGGAGGUUGACAUUGGUAGAUCUGCCCCAGAAGUCAUCAGGGAUCCAGUUUCUGUUCAGUUUCCAGCUUCUUUUUUCCUCAGCAUGUGGCAUUUGUCUUCAUAAUCCCAGGAUGGCUCCAGAACCUUCAGGCAUUGAAACCUGAUUCCAGGCAAGAGGCAGAGGUAAGUGAACAGGAAAAUAAAUAGUACAUAAAUAAGUAAAUAAAUAAACA